rnacentral:rRNA from 1 species
UACGUAGGGUGCAAGCGUUGUCCGGAAUUAUUGGGCGUAAAGAGCUCGUAGGCGGUCUGUUGCGUCGGCUGUGAAAACCCGGGGCUCAACUCCGGGCCUGCAGCCGAUACGGGCAGACUAGAGUUCGGCAGGGGAGACUGGAAUUCCUGGUGUAGCGGUGAAAUGCGCAGAUAUCAGGAGGAACACCUGCGGCGAAGGCGGGUUGCUGGGCUGAUACUGACGCUGAGGCGCGAAAGCUAGGGGAGCGAACGGG